CACAUCAAAGACAGGGGUGACACAGGGAAGGCCACGUGACAACGGAGGCAGAGAUUUCAGUGAUGUUUACACGCCAAGGAACACCGAGGACUCCCGGCAACCGCUAAAAGCUAGGAAGAGGCGAGAAGGGAUCUGCCUAUAGAGUUCCUUGCAGCAAGCAUGGUCCUGCCAGCGCCUUAGCUUCUAUCAGCCUCCAGGACUGCGAGAGAAGACAUGCCUGCUGUGCCCAGCCACUCAGAGCGUGGCCAUUUGUUUCCAACGCUUAAGGAAACUAAUAUACCUGCAAAGUCUGCAUACUUAAGUGCGUGAGGCUCUAAACAGUGGUAGAGAAGAUGCAUCAUGACAAGAGUCCCCUGCAGGCUGGUCAACGAACCUAAGUCAGGACCCAGAGGUGUGUCCUGGACCCUUAAGAGAGAAGCUUUCAAAAGGUGUAGAGAAAAGGUGCAUGUAUCUUCCAGGGUCUGGAAAAUUCUGACUGCUCCUACAUCAAUCUCCUAAAGCAUGGUGGGGUCCAGCAGGAACAAGGCCACACUGUGACUUGCAGAUGAGAGCUGCUAUCAGGAGGAGGGGGACGGAGGAGGUCAGAGGGGUUUUCUGUGGCCCCACGAGGCUGGGCGCAUCCGUCCUCCGUCCUCCACAGGGCAGAGGGAAACCGCAGCAGUCUGACUCUGAGCUGCCAGCUGAAGUUUCUCUACAUCGUCUCUCAUCCUCUGCCCUGGUUGGCUCCUGCCUUUCCCCUGCAGCCACUGUUGCUGCCCUCCCACUCUCUGCCAUGACUGGAUGACUUUGAACUCAUGCUUCCUGGAUUCCUCCAGGCUGUGGCUGUUGGCUCUUUGAGGCUCCAGCUCCUCUGUUAUCACCAUUGCGGGUCCAGAGGUCAUAGAAGGAUUUGCCAAGACUAUUACACCUGGCCCCGUAUACAGUGGCAGGCAGAGGAGACUGGUGUGCCGAGAGAGAGAGAUGUAUAUUGCAAAGGUGGCCCACUACCGUGACUGUGUUUUCUGAAGUGUCUGUGACUGUAGAGUUUGUCCCCAUGGGACUGGCACACUCAUCACUCCAGUCCUGUCCAUACGUGUGGCUCUGGCUUUCUCGAAAAAGCCCGGCAGCUUCCCUUUUGUCUGCCUAGGGCCCCAACCUUUGGACUUCAUCCGGCUCUCUGGAUCUGCCCUGAUUGUCUCUUGCUAGCUCUCCCAGCUGAUGACAAGUUGGGAAGAUUGGCUUUCUGCUGUGACAUUUCCCCACCAUCCUGCCUUUCAGAUUGCCUUCCAGGGGACUUCCCUGGUCAUCCAGUGGCUAAGACUCUGCACUCCCAAUGCAGGAGGCCUGGGUUCUAUCCAGUCAGCGAACUAGAUUCCACAUACCCCAGCUGAGAUCUAGCACAGCCAAAUAAAUAAAUAAAUACUAAAAAGAAAAGAUUGCCUUCCAGGGUUCAGCAUAACACAUUUUCCAGUUUCAUCCACGUUGCAUGCAUCGGCCCUAUCGUGAGAACAUAUCACCCAUAUACACCCAUCUGCCCAACUAUGGACCCCUGCG
ensembl:lncRNA